rnacentral:misc_RNA from 1 species
AAUCAAGCGGCUUUUAGCCGCGUGCCGUUCUGUCGACGGACUGCGCAAAACACGAAGCAGAUGUUUCUUACAAUCAGCGUGGAUCGAAACGGCAAGUAAGAUUCAUUGCCUUCUCAUUGUCGGAGAAGGAAAGAACGGAGUAGCAGACCUUGAGUUUCAUUUCUCUCAAAUAUUUACUGUGAAAUGAAAUUACUGUACGAGCGAUGGAUCUUGGAGUAUUCUGACUGAAUUUCGUAAUCCCUGAAUAACGAACUAAUCCAUCGGUGGCUCCUCACCAACCAAAGAAGAAUUUGAAAUCCAGAGAAAGUUCGACAGAAAGAAGAACUUAUGAAGAUGUACUUGUCGCUAGAGACGACGAUUCGCUUCGCAAAAAUAUCGUCGAGACCGAUAUUCGGUUGGCCGUUGCCUCUUGGGGCUAAACGUAUCAUCAUCCUGAAACGUCAGGUUUUUAAGCUCUUAUCUACGGCUCAUAU